rnacentral:rRNA from 1 species
CGCGUAGGCGGUUUUUAAGUCUGAUGUGAAAGCCCACGGCUCAACCGUGGAGGGUCAUUGGAAACUGGAAAACUUGAGUACAGAAGAGGAAAGUGGAAUUCCAUGUGUAGCGGUGAAAUGCGCAGAGAUAUGGAGGAACACCAGUGGCGAAGGCGACUUUCUGGUCUGUAACUGACGCUGAUGUGCGAAAGCGUGGGGAUCAAACA